rnacentral:rRNA from 1 species
AUGAACGCUGGCGGCGUGCCUAAUACAUGCCAGUCGAGCGAACGGACGAGAAGCUUGCUUCUCUGAUGUUAGCGGCGGACGGGUGAGUAACACGUGGAUAACCUACCUAUAAGACUGGGAUAACUUCGGGAAACCGGAGCUAAUACCGGAUAAUAUUUUGAACCGCAUGGUUCAAAAAUGAAAGACGGUCUUGCUGUCACUUAUAGAUGGAUCCGCGCUGCAUUAGCUAGUUGGUAAGGUAACGGCUUACCAAGGCAACGAUGCAUAGCCGACCUGAGAGGGUGAUCGGCCACACUGGAACUGAGACACGGACCAGACUCCUACGGGAGGCAGCAGUAGGGAAUCUUCCGCAAUGGGCGAAAGCCUGACGGAGCAACGCCGCGUGAGUGAUAAAGGUCUUCGGAUCGUAAAACUCUGUUAUUAGGGAAGAACAUAUGUGUAAGUAACUGUGCACAUCUUGACGGUACCUAAUCAGAAAGCCACGGCUAACUACGUG